UACGUAGGGGGCAAGCGUUGUCCGGAUUUAUUGGGCGUAAAGAGCGUGUAGGCGGCCAUUCAGGUCAGCUGUGAAAACUCGAGGCUCAACCUCGAGACGUCGGUUGAAACCGUUUGGCUAGAGUCCGGAAGAGGAGAGUGGAAUUCCCGGUGUAGCGGUGAAAUGCGCAGAUAACGGGAAGAACACCCGUGGCGAAGGCGGCUCUCUGGACCGUAACUGACGCUGAGGCGCGAAAGCGUGGGGAGCAAACAGG
rnacentral:rRNA from 1 species